GCUGGCUUAGAUCAAUGGUAGAUCGUCUCCCUCCUACUUCCAGUACACUGAGCAUAGAGGAGAAGGCUGCGGGUUCGAGUCCCGUGGUCAGUG
rnacentral:tRNA from 1 species